AAAGAUGAAAUAUACUGUAAGAAAUAUGAAAUAUACUGUAAGAAAGAUGAAAUAUACUGUAAGAAAGAUGAAAUAUACUGUAAGAAAGAUGAAAUAUACUGUAAGAAAGAUGCAAUAUACGGUAAGAAAGAUGCAAUAUACUGUAAGAAAGUGAACUCGAUUCAAAGAGAGACAUUCAUGGUUUGAAGCCGAUGGAAACAUGGCACCAUGUCAGAUUAUUUGACCAGUAUGUGUUUUGUCUAAUCACGGUCUGCAAGGUGAAGGUAUGGUAUAUCACAGACCAGUAUGUGUUUUGUCUAAUCACGGUCUGCAAGGUGAAGGUAUGGUAUAUCACAGGCCAGUAUGUGUUUUGUCUAAUCACGGUCUGCAAGGUGAAGGUAUGGUAUAUCACAGACCAGUAUGUGUUUUGUCUAAUCACGGUCUGCAAGGUGAAGGUAUGGUAUAUCACAGGCCAGUAUGUGUUUUGUCUAACCACGGUCUGCAAGGUGAAGGUAUGGUAUAUCACAGACCAGUAUGUGUUUUGUCUAAUCACGGUCUGCAAGGUGAAGGUAUGGUAUAUCACAGACCAGUAUGUGUUUUGUCUAAUCACGGUCUGCAAGGUGAAGGUAUGGUAUAUCACAGACCAGUAUGUGUUUUGUCUAAUCACGGUCUGCAAGGUGAAGGUAUGGUAUAUCACAGGCCAGUAUGUGUUUUGUCUAAUCACGGUCUGCAAGGUGAAGGUAUGGUAUAUCACAGGCCAGUAUGUGUUUUGUCUAAUCACGGUCUGCAAGGUGAAGGUAUGGUAUAUCACAGGCCAGUAUGUGUUUUGUCUAAUCACGGUCUGCAAGGUGAAGGUAUGGUAUAUCACAGGCCAGUAUGUGUUUUGUCUAAUCACGGUCUGCAAGGUGAAGGUAUGGUAUAUCACGGUC